CUUCCACCAGAAAAGAGCCACCUUACGAUUAUCUAUCUUCCUCAUUAAACGAUCUCUCUCUCCAUUGAAACUGAUGGCAUGACUUUUCUCUCCAUUGUAGAAAACUAAUUUCUUACCUAUCUCUUAAUCCGGCAGAGGACAAUCAGCAAAGCCACACUUAAUCUUCAACAGAGUAAGCACAUAAUAUCAGCCGGCAGUACCUUCUCUCUCUUUGCUACUGCUUCUUCUUUCCCUUUUCCCCUUUCCCUUUUCCAUUUGAUAGUUCUAUCUAUUUGCCUUUUCAUGUUCCCAUUGUUCUGAUUACAUUUGCAGAUUUUAUUCGUUUUUUCUUUGUUGUGUAGUAUUUUGCUUUUGAGGCUUUCUUUAUUUCACAAUUCGUAUUUUUCUGCUUGCAACUUUGCAUGCAGUUCAAAUUUAUCUAAUUGAGUUGCUUAAUAGAGCCACUUAUUGGUUGAUUUUCGUGUUGAUUUCCUCUUUUAGGUUUCAGCAUUCGCCCUCUAUGAUCAAGUUUCAUUUAUUUCCGUCAACGAUUUUGAGCAAAGCUAAUCUCACCUGUUUGUGUUGUAUGAUUUCAACUGCUUUUUAAAUUUAUUUAACUAUUUUGGUGAAACACUUCGCUUAUUCGUUGUUAUUGUGUUGAUUAUUCCCUCUUGUAUUUUGAUUAUUCAUAGUCUUAUAGCAGAGAUGCGGCAAAGUGCAGAACGAGGGCCUACAUAGGUCACUCUUGAAAUUUAUGGUUCAUUUACAAAUGAGAUACUAUAUUUCUUUUGCCUUUUGAUUUACUUAUGUUGCAGUUGGGUCUAAUGUAUGAGGGGGAAAUGAAAUUUGUACUUUUAAAGUAGAUGUAUUAAAGUAUGUAUCAACAACUUGCCAUGAUUUCAUAGAGCUUGCUUUGAGAGGGUAUUAUGAUAUGUCAAAUUCCACAGAGUCAUCACGGUUUUUUUCCUCGUAUCCUUCUAAUGUUGUCAAUUUUAUAUGAUUUUAGAUCUUUAUUUAUACUAUUUUUUGGUAGGAUUUCAUUGUUUGGGUUGGAGAUCCAACCGGUACGGGAAGAGAUGGAGAAUAAUCCAUUUAUGGCUAUGUUGUAGUCUAAAUGGCUUUGUGACUACUUUUAGCAAUACCAGUUAGAACUGCCGGUGAAAGUUGAUUUCCCUGGUGCUAAGUUUCAUAGCGAUUCAUGUCCUUUGAAUGCUGACUUACUAGAGCGUGUUACGAUUUUGUUUUAGAUUUUUCUUCUACUGUAGGUCUUCAAUGAAGGGCAUAUAACCUUCCGAGAAAAAAUAGCGGCUAAAGAAUUUAGCCCAAAAGAAAGUUGUAGUGAUAAUGUCUCCCUUUCUUCCUCUUCUUUCUCCCAGGUAACACAUACUUCAAUUACAUGCGUUACUUGUGUAAUGCUUUUAUAGAGUUUAGAUCCUUGAUCAGUAUGCUUCUUAUUGUAAAUUUGUAGGGCUAAGCGAGCGUGUUUAGCAUUCCUAAAUUUGAGGACCCAAGUUCAGAGAAAUACCAAUUCCAUUUGCUAUACAUAGCCAUAAAGAGCAGGAAAGCAAGAAAGAUAGAAAUUUCUACUAUGAUAGCAAUUUUGAUUAAAGAUAUUGAACUGGUACUUGUGCAUUUGUAUCACUUCCUUUUUUUCAUGAAAACCAUUUACUAUAUUGUAUAGAGAAAAUUUUUAUUAAACUUUUAGGGAAAACGGCUUUUUGUUGUUAGAAGGCAAAUUUGUGGUUAUCGGCAUCAAGUGUCGUCCUCUUAGGUACCCAAAGAUAGAGUACUAUGUUAUGUUGGCAGCGGUUGAAGUCCACCAUUAUAAUGGAAGUAAAUUUAUCUUCUUAUAUAUGUGCUUUUAGGUAUCUAAACUCUGUUUUAUGCCAUGCCGGUUUUUACGUAUGGCAAGAGUUGGUGUAAGAGGACUGAUGCAUCUUCUUACUAUUGUAUCUCAUACCUAAUUUUGAAUUAAUCUGUCUAAUCCCUUUCGCCUGAAAUAGUAUUUGUAACAUACUUUUAUUGUCAUUUUCAGUUGUUCAUUGUGGAGCAAUGUGUCAACGGAUUGCACGAGAAAAUAUGUUUUCGAAGUAAUUGACUGCAUUGGAGAAGAGAAGGAUGGGUUUCUUCUAAAAGAGCUCAUCAAAACUCAUAAUUCUCUAAAAAAUUAUAUAUAUUAGAUACAAGUACUUUUUGUGUGUGAUACAAGUACUCAAUGGAAUAUUGAAGGUGCAACAAGUUACUUCAGAGAUCAGUGAUGAUACUUUAUCUGUAUGAGUAGUUCUAAUUAAUUGAGUUAUGUUGGUCUGAGAUAGUAAGAAAUGUUGGCCAUCAGGACCCUUACUAACUUAUGAUGUGAUGCAAUUUGUAAUUUCUUAUAUCUAAUUUGUAUUUCUAUAUCAGCUUGGAUGUAAUUAUGGUAUCGUAAC
rnacentral:lncRNA from 1 species